CGUGUAGGCGGAGAUGCAAGUCAGGAGUGAAAUCCCGGGGCUCAACCCCGGAACUGCUUUUGAAACUGCAUCCCUUGAGUAUCGGAGAGGCAAGCGGAAUUCCUAGUGUAGCGGUGAAAUGCGUAGAGAUCUGGAGGAAUACCGAUUGCGAAGGCAGCCCCCUGGACAGUGACUGACGCUCAAAUGCGAAAGCGUGGGGAUCAAACAGGAUUAGAUACCCUGGUA
rnacentral:rRNA from 1 species